CGGAUGGUUGUUUGAACCGCAUGGUUCAGACAUAAAAGGUGGCUUCGGCUACCACUUACAGAUGGACCCGCGGCGCAUUAGCUAGUUGGUGAGGUAACGGCUCACCAAGGCGACGAUGCGUAGCCGACCUGAGAGGGUGAUCGGCCACACUGGGACUGAGACACGGCCCAGACUCCUACGGGAGGCAGCAGUAGGGAAUCUUCCGCAAUGGACGAAAGUCUGACGGAGCAACGCCGCGUGAGUGAUGAAGGUUUUCGGAUCGUAAAGCUCUGUUGUUAGGGAAGAACAAGUGCCGUUCAAAUAGGGCGGCACCUUGACGGUACCUAACCAGAAAGCCACGGCUAACUACGUGCCAGCAGCCGCGGUAAUACGUAGGUGGCAAGCGUUGUCCGGAAUUAUUGGGCGUAAAGGGCUCGCAGGCGGUUUCUUAAGUCUGAUGUGAAAGCCCCCGGCUCAACCGGGGAGGGUCAUUGGAAACUGGGGAACUUGAGUGCAGAAGAGGAGAGUGGAAUUCCACGUGUAGCGGUGAAAUGCGUAGAGAUGUGGAGGAACACCAGUGGCGAAGGCGACUCUCUGGUCUGUAACUGACGCUGAGGAGCGAAAGCGUGGGGAGCGAACAGGAUUAGAUACCCUGGUAGUCCACGCCGUAAACGAUGAGUGCUAAGUGUUAGGGGGUUUCCGCCCCUUAGUGCUGCAGCUAACGCAUUAAGCACUCCGCCUGGGGGAGUACGGUCGCAAGACUGAAACUCAAAGGAAUUGACGGGGGCCCGCAC
rnacentral:rRNA from 2 species